UACGUAGGGGGCAAGCGUUGUCCGGAUUUAUUGGGCGUAAAGAGCGUGUAGGCGGUUUGGUAGGUCCGCUGUGAAAACUCGAGGCUCAACCUCGAGACGCCGGUGGAAACCAUCAGACUAGAGUCCGGAAGAGGAGAGUGGAAUUCCUGGUGUAGCGGUGAAAUGCGCAGAUAUCAGGAAGAACACCGGUGGCGAAGGCGGUUCUCUGGGCAUUACCUGACGCUGAGACGCGAAAGCGUGGGGAGCAAACAGG
rnacentral:rRNA from 1 species